rnacentral:piRNA from 1 species
UGUGGUUCAUAAUAAACAGGAAGCCG